rnacentral:rRNA from 1 species
UACGAGGGGGGCGAGCGUUGUUCGGAAUUAUUGGGCGUAAAGGGUGCGUAGGCGGUUUGAUAAGUCUGAUGUGAAAUCUAUGGGCUCAACUCAUAGUCUGCAUCGGAAACUGCCGGGCUUGAGUAUGGGAGAGGUGAGUGGAAUUCCUGGUGUAGCGGUGAAAUGCGUAGAUAUCAGGAGGAACACCUGUGGCGAAAGCGGCUCACUGGACCAUAACUGACGCUGAUGCACGAAAGCUAGGGGAGCAAACAGG